UACAGAGGGGGCAAGCGUUAUUCGGAAUUAUUGGGCGUAAAGGGCGCGUAGGCGGCUUGGCAAGUGGAUGGUGAAAUCCCUCGGCUUAACCGAGGAACUGCCGUCCAAACUGCUUCGCUUGAGACCGGGAGAGGUGAGUGGAAUUCCCAGUGUAGCGGUGAAAUGCGUAGAUAUUGGGAGGAACACCAGUGGCGAAGGCGGCUCACUGGACCGGUACUGACGCUGGUGCGCGAAAGCGUGGGGAGCAAACGGG
rnacentral:rRNA from 1 species